rfam:Candidatus Thrbacteria bacterium RIFCSPLOWO2_02_FTLL_54_37 rifcsplowo2_02_scaffold_10948, whole genome shotgun sequence.
UCGGGGGUCGUCUAACGGUAGGACGCCAGGUUCUGGCCCUGGCAAUCGGGGUUCGAAACCCUGCCCCCGAG